UAGUUUUGAUUUUGAUGUAAGAAACACCCGUUAUACUUAUUCAUCCCGUGAAUGUUGGUUGUUUUGAAACACCUGUGAAACUUAUUCAUUUUGAUGUAAAAAACACCUGUGAACCUAGUGUUCAUUUGAUGUACCAACAAGCAUACCAAGUACAAAACACCCGUGAACUUUGUGUUCAUAUUAUACAUAAACAUGUUACAUAAGAAGUACAAGUUCUAGUCGAAGUUUAAACAACAGAAACAUAAGUCAUAAGUUUUGACUCGUACUCAGUAACAAAUGAUAGAGAAUCUACCUUUUGAGACAGCAGGCCACACUGUGUACACAUAGCUCUCAUCUCUUCCAUCACCGCGACGUCCCACCACUUCCAGACAUGGCAAUCUCCGUCAUCCCUGUUCUCACAGGUGUAAAACCUUCUUCCAGGAUCAGUUCUUGUGUAAGACGUCUCUACAACCGGUUGGCCACCACAAUAGCAUUCCUUCGGGAAGCCAUACUCAACCUCUGGCUGCGGAGGGUACACAACCCGCGCGGCAUCAAUCUCGGCUUGGUCCAGCAUGAUAUUAAAUUCUGUUUCGCUGUAUCCACUGUCUGCUGAGUUCUCACCGUAGUCCUCCGACUCUGAAGGCUGUGUGUAGCUAUAAUCCAGCCCCAUUUCUUCUGUAACCUGCAAACGAACAUAAGUUUUUUACUUAAUGAAACAUAAUUCAUGGCAACAGAAUCAUGCAUUAACUUAAUACAUAACUCAACGCAACAAAAUCAAAUAAAGAAGCAUUAUAUUAGACAAGACUUGUUCCCAUUACAUAGCAUCACAGAACAUAGACAUUAAAGAACAUUAUAAAAUAAACUCAACGCAAAAAGAAACAAUAGGAUUAUCUUAGACGCAACACAACCACGGAAAACAAAGAUUGAUUUUUUUUUAGAAAUUAGAACAACUCAGCAAGGAGUAUAUUUUUGACAGCUUCUUCACUCUCACUAAGUGGCUCCUUUCUAGUAAGGAGAGUGUCUAGUACAGCAAGCUUCGAGAGUUUCUCCUUCUUUGCCAAAUCUUCCAUCUUGAGCUCCCACAUGUUCCUAUAGUUCUCAACAGCCUUUCCUUGACUGCUAUUCCUUCGGGCUUUUGCAGCCUUUAUACCUUCAGGCCUUAUCUCUCCCUCACCAACGUUGGUACUUGAAGGUUCGGAAGCGUCCUCACCAGUCUUUCUCUUUGAACUGACAGCAGCUUUAGGAGGGUUCAGGUUAAUCCACUUAUGUUCAUACCUCAAGACACACCACGCAUGCUCAAGGGUAAACUUGGUUCCGUUAUUAGCGUAGAAGAUCUCAUGAGCCACCUUUAGAACGUCAUUGUCACUCUGACCGCUCGUAACUUGUCUCUCUGCUGCGGCAAAUGCGGCACAGAACUUGUUGGUAUGAUCAUUUAUUUUGUGCCACCUUUGCUUACAGUGGACAUGCUCUGUCUUCUCACCAGCCUCUGUCGCACCUGCGAAGUACGCUCCUACGCGUUUCCAGAAGGUCCCGGACUUCUGUUCAUUCCAAUAACAGCAUCCUUUGAUGUGUUUAGCCAGGCACUGAUGAGAACCUCGUCAUCAGCAGGAGUCCAUUUCUUUCUCACCACACGCUCCACUGUUGUCGCAUCAGGUUGGGAUGGAGUCUGAGCUUGCUGCGAACUGAAAGGAGGUAUAUCGGAGCCUCCAAUGUUUACACUAUAAGGAAAACUUUCAGGAGGAAUGUUUUCCUGAACAACAUAUUGUUGUUGACUCGUAAGAAGGCCAAUGUAGCCAGAGUACUGGCUACUUUGAUUUCUGGAAUCCAUAGCAAGAAAGACAGAGCAAAGAGAAUUCCAAAUAAAGCUGAAGGAUGAGCUUUGAGGAGAGUAAUAACACGCUUUGGUUUUAAAGAGAAAUUAAGAGCUAACAUAAAAGACCUAAAAAGCAAUAACUAUCAACCACCUAACUAUUAUCUACCAAAGUCUAAUCAGAACUUAAUACCGUACUUGAACUACAAAGCUAUCACACUCUCAUUUACAAUACAAUCAAUUUUCGUUCUAAACUACAAUGUGUGAUCAGAAGCAACUGUAACAAGCAAUAAUAGACCGCAAAACAUAACUAAAAACCAAUAUACUUACUACAAAAUCGAACUACAACCUAUCAACUCAUGUUUGUCCAUCGCAUACACCAUCAAAGCAAUAAUACACAAUAACAACAUUACCAACAAAACAUGAACACACUACCAAGUUUCGACACUCAUUUUUCAAAACAAUCACAACUUCGGAGACUAGGCAAUAUUAAAGCUACUUAAAUCAGUACAUGUUGAACUGAUUUCGAAUGGCAGAUGAACUAAUAAUCAAAGAUUAACAACAAAAAUCAACUAUAACACUCUCAUACCUAUGGACUGAGACAACCGAAUCCACACACAAGAUUAACAAUAAUAAACCAUAAUCAAAUGGAUUACCAAUCAUAUCAUCUCAAUUGACAUCCUACGGAUCUCGAAUGGAAGAGGAACGCAUACCUUUUGGUUCGAAAACGGAGGAGAAUCGAAGGAUGUCGACCGUGGAGACAACAGAUCGGUCUCAUCUUGCGAACUAACCGAGAGAAUCUCGUUUGCGGCGAGAAAUCGUUGGGAGAAUCUUCUUCAACUGCAUUGCCUUCGAGACUGAAUCGGGAGAGGAAGAGGCUGAAAUGGAUACCGAAUGUCGAGACAAACACUAGACGACUUCGACCCGUGCUCAAAAAUGCCAGCUGGCAUGUAAAGGACCGAAAUGAGAAGUCCCGUAUUAAGGCCCGUCCUUCAUUUUCUCUCAUAUUUUUCAUUUUCUUUUAAGUCCAAAAAGCCUAAGGACGAGCCCAAGGACGUGCGAUAAUCUUGCUCUAAACACAGCAUUUUAAGAACUGGUAAGGACCCCAUAUGUGUCUAUUUCUUAUUGGGAGAUGCCUUUUAGGCAAAAAGGAAGAAAUUUUUUUUGGUCUUUCUUCGUCGAUAUUUCCGAAGUUUUCGUGCAAGAAAAAUUGAAUCGUUUGUGGAGAGAGAGAGAAGAGACGACUGGAUCAAAGUGAAAAGAAGAAGAUUUGAUUUGUAUCCGAAGGGGUUUACAGCAGCGACAGGUACGCGAGUAAGUACGGUCGGCGGCGGAACGAGAUUAUGAUUCAUUUUCCGUUAACCCAUUCAACGGAAACUACGACGAGGAACUUGGUGUCUUCAUCAACUCCUUCGUUACCGACGAAGACACAUCUCAAGAACAGCUUCUCUUCUCCUUCCUCUGUGAUGCUAUUGAGAAUGUUCGUGAUUGUAAGAGACUUUAUGUCUGUUCUAGAUACAGUAUGCAAGUAAAUGGAGGUGACUAGAGGAGAGAGUACUCUGGCUUAGGUUUCAAGUGUAAGGAAGAUCCUAGAAUCUUUCCUGGACUGAUGAUGCAUUGUAUUGCCUCCUUAAUUAGUUAUGUACUUAUGUUUGUAUGAAUCGUUGGUUUAAUAAGUGGGUUAACUAGAAGGGCAUUGAGGUAUUUCUAUCAUGAAAAAAUGUAUAUCUCAUAAAAAAAUGUAUAUCUCAUGCACUAUGUGGAGUAAAAUGAAAUAGAGAAAUAAGAAAGUGGUUCUAGAUGUAA